GACGAACGCUGGCGGCGCGCCUAACACAUGCAAGUCGAACGAGCGAGAGAGAGCUUGCUUUCUUGAGCGAGUGGCGAACGGGUGAGUAACGCGUGAGGAACCUGCCUCAAAGAGGGGGACAACAGUUGGAAACGACUGCUAAUACCGCAUAAGCCCACGGUGCCGCAUGGCACAGAGGGAAAAGGAGCAAUCCGCUUUGAGAUGGCCUCGCGUCCGAUUAGCUAGUUGGUGAGGUAACGGCCCACCAAGGCGACGAUCGGUAGCCGGACUGAGAGGUUGAACGGCCACAUUGGGAAUGAGACACGGCCCAGACUCCUACGGGAGGCAGGAGUGGGGAAUAUUGCACAAUGGGGGAAACCCUGAUGCAGCGACGCCGCGUGGAGGAAGAAGGUCUUCGGAUUGGAAACUCCUGUUGUUGGGGAAGAUAAUGACGGUACCCAACAAGGAAGUGACGGCUAACUACGUG
rnacentral:rRNA from 1 species